rnacentral:misc_RNA from 1 species
UCCGGUUUGUCACCGGCAGUCUCAUUAGAGUGCCCUUGCGUAGCAACUAAUGAUAAGGGUUGCGCUCGUUGCGGGACUUAACCCAACAUCUCACGACACGAGCUGACGACAGCCAUGCAGCACCUGUGUCCAGGCUCUCUUUCGAGCACCCCCACCUUUCAGCAGGGUUCCUGGCAUGUCAAGCGUAGGUAAGGUUUUUCGCGUUGCAUCGAAUUAAUCCACAUCAUCCACCGCUUGUGCGGGUCCCCGUCAAUUCCUUUGAGUUUUAAUCUUGCGACCGUACUCCCCAGGCGGUCUACUUCCCGCGUUAGCUGCGUUACCAAGGAAAUUAAUCCCCGACAACUAGUAGACAUCGUUUAGGGCGUGGACUAC